GAUGAACGCUGGCGGCGUGCCUAAUACAUGCAAGUCGAGCGAACAGACGAGGAGCUUGCUCCUCUGACGUUAGCGGCGGACGGGUGAGUAACACGUGGAUAACCUACCUAUAAGACUGGGAUAACUUCGGGAAACCGGAGCUAAUACCGGAUAAUAUAUUAAACCGCAUGGUUCAAUAGUGAAAGACGGUUUUGCUGUCUCUUAUAGAUGGAUCCCCGCCGCAUUAGCUAGUUGGUAAGGUAACGGCUUACCAAGGCGACGAUGCGUAGCCGACCUGAGAGGGUGAUCGGCCACACUGGGACUGAGACACGGUCCAGACUCCUACGGGAGGCAGCAGUAGGGAAUCUUCCGCAAUGGGCGAAAGCCUGACGGAGCAACGCCGCGUGAGUGAUGAAGGUCUUCGGAUCGUAAAACUCUGUUAUUAGGGAAGAACAAAUGUGUAAGUAACUAUGCACGUCUUGACGGUACCUAAUCAGAAAGCCACGGCUAACUACGUG
rnacentral:rRNA from 1 species